AAAUGGGAUUAAAAUAUCAAGAACUAUUUAAAUUGUUUACAUUUUUAGAAUUAAGGCUUUUGACAGAAGAGAAUGCUAUACAAUCAUUCUAUUCACAAGAUCCAGAGGCCAGGAAAAUGUCAGUGGAAAGCAGCUAGCAUGAAGACCCCACAGUGUUCCUCCCUCUAGUAGUCUGGUAUUAUUUGGAGCUGAGAUGCUGGCUAAUAUGGUUAGGACAUUUCUCCCCUCCAAAUCUCAUGUGAGAAUUUGAUUCCCCGUUUUGGGGAUGGGGUCUAGUGGGAAGAGUUUUGGUCAUGAUUGGGAACCCCUCAUAAAUGGCUUGGUGCCCUGCUCACAAGAACGAAUGAGCUCUCACUCUACUAGUUUACUGGAGAGCCGGUUUUUUAAAGAGCCUGGCAUCUCCCCCACUUUCUCUCUUGCUCCCCCAUCUCACUGCAAUAUACCUGCUCCCCUUUGCCAUCCAUCAUGAGUGGAAGCUUCUUGAAGCCUUCACCUGAAGCAGAUGCCAACACUAUGCUUCCUGUACAGCCUGCCAUACCAUGAGCCAA
rnacentral:lncRNA from 1 species